AGUCUUUUGGGGUUUUAUUAAAGAUUAUUUCUGCUCGGUGUUGUUAAACAGCCGUGGUAAUUUGACCGUGCAAAGGUAGCAUAAUCAUUUGCUCUAUAAUUGAGGGCUGGAAUGAAUGGGGUAACAAAAACUAUACUGUCUUUAAUCUAUUUAUAGAAUUUAUAUUUGAUGUGAAGAUACAUUGAUUAAAAAAAAAGACAAGAAGACCCUUUUGAGCUUAAUUUUUUUUUUCUUUUUGUUAAUAGAGUAAUUUGGUUGGGGCGACCAAAGAAGAAUAAUAUUACUAUCUUCUUUAGUUUUUAUUGAUCCAUUUUUUUUGAUUUAUAGAAUAAGUUACCAAAGGGAUAACAGCGUAAUUUUUUUUUGGAGUUCUUAUUAAAAAUUAAGAUUGCGACCUCGAUGUUGACUUAUGGUUUCCUUUUGGUGCAGUAGCUAAUAUGGUAGGUCUGUUCGACCUUUAAUGCCUU
rnacentral:rRNA from 1 species